AACGAACGCUGGCGGCAUGCCUAACACAUGCAAGUCGAACGAAACCUUCGGGUCUAGUGGCGCACGGGUUCGUAACGCGUGGGAACCUGCCCUUAGGUUCGGAAUAACUCCCCGAAAGGGGUGCUAAUACCGGAUAAUGUCUUCGGACCAAAGAUUUAUCGCCUUUGGAUGGGCCCGCGUUGGAUUAGCUAGUUGGUAGGGUAAAAGCCUACCAAGGCGACGAUCCAUAGCUGGUCUGAGAGGAUGAUCAGCCACACUGGGACUGAGACACGGCCCAGACUCCUACGGGAGGCAGCAGUGGGGAAUAUUGGACAAUGGGCGAAAGCCUGAUCCAGCAAUGCCGCGUGAGUGAUGAAGGCCUUAGGGUUGUAAAGCUCUUUUACCCGGGAUGAUAAUGACAGUACCGGGAGAAUAAGCUCCGGCUAACUCCGUG
rnacentral:rRNA from 1 species